UUCAUGUCGAGCCGAUCCAAUCCAACAAUCUCCUUCAGUCGGUCGUCUGUCUGCUUCUGCUAGUUUCUGCAACGCUGUUUCUGCGAGCUUCUCAUCCAGCUUUUGAUAUUUCAUUUAGUUGAGAAUCUCAUCUUAUCAUGGCAUAUGCAGUGAGGUUCGCCAACAAAGCAAGUGCUAUGUCGCUUCUGAGACCAGCGACAGCUUUACCCACUGCAUGUCUUGCACCCAUGUCAGCAAUGAGUCCUAAGCAGGCAGAGGCGACAGAACACUUCUUCAAAAAGAACAAGUCACUUGAGAGGCCAUUGUCUCCUCACCUGAGCAUUUAUGCGCCGCAAAUGUCAUGGGUGCCUUCACUGAUACACAGGACAACUGGCAUUGGCAUGACAGUGUGUCUGUAUGGAAUGGGUGUGAUGCCGUUUGUGUGUUCGCACCAGUUCCCGCACUAUGUGGAGGCACUUCAGGCCAUGCACAUCUCGCCCAUCCUCACUUUCCCAGUGAAGCUUGGGCUGGCCUUUGCCCUCUGCUACCACACUUUCAAUGGCAUGCGCCACCUGGCCUGGGAUUUGGGCUUUGGCUUCAGCCUCAAGGAGCUCUACGCAACUGGCUAUUUUAUCAUAGCAGUCAGUCUUGUGGCGGCAGCAGUGUUGGCGCUCAAGUAGACCUACCUUAUACCUGGACUGGAGCAGCUAGGGUCAAGGUGAUGAACUUGCCCAGCGCAGGGGCUGUGUAUGCACUCAACUAUGCGAACAGCCAUGCACAGCCUCAGUCGGGCUAGAGGAGGAGACACAUGCUUGAUCAGAUGGCCUCCAACAUUGGGCGUGUGGGAAGACAGUGUGCAUCAAGCCUCCAUCUUUCUCGGCUCACCGUCACAUGCUUUUCCUUGCACCCACAGCAUCACUCUUCGACUUUCUAUCGAACAUCGUGGUGACGGCAAAAAUUUACCUGGAAUGUCUAUAUUUGCUAUAGCAAUAAUAACUUUAGUAAUCAAUAGUAGUCAAACAAGGGAUGUCAAAACGUCCCCCUGUCAAAAUGUUGGCUCCAGCAACAUCCCUUCUUCGACCAUUAUAGAUAAAUUGAAAAGUCUCCGUGUGAUCCUGUCUUGUUUGGCAAUCAAAUAACAUUAGGCUCCUGCAACAUUAGGCGGCAAGAUUUAAUACCCGUUGCAUAACAUGGUGAGAACAACGCGUGAAAGAAUAAAGGCAGGAAAAAUGUUCCCACGUAUAUGCAAAAGGUGUUGUUGCGUCUGUACAGCCGUAGUUGGCUGCCGACUAUUUAUUACACUUCAUGAAAGAGAAACAUAAUAGUAGACAGCAGUCCAGACGUCGGAGCAAACACUGGCGAAGCGUUCGUUCUAUGAGGCGCGCUCGUGUCAGAGCGCCAGUGCCUUCGCACGCGCACUUCAUCGUUGUCGUCUCCUGGCGACAUAUCAGGUGUAUUUUUAUUAAAAUUUGUUUUAGAUAUUUAUGGUACUCAGUAGCUAUGGCGUUGUGCUGGUGAGCGCCAGAUCAUGAGUUUAAUCUUGGUCGCGGUGGCCACAUUCUGAUGGGAGUGGAAUGUAAAAAUGCUCGUGUACAGCAUGCCUCAUAAUCAGAUCGCGGUUUUGGCACAUCAUCAUCCGAAAUAAUGGUGUCUUUAAUUUUAAAGAUUUGUGGUAAGCAUUGUAAACAUUAAAAUCACAGUUAGUUUAAUAACCUAGCAAUAUACCCAGGCAAAGUCUAGCCAAACUCGAGCCAGGUAUCAAUCGAAUUAGUUAAUUUGUCACUGAAAGCAUGGGACACUUCUGGGAGUACAAUGAAUGUACAGGUAAGCUGUUUCUUGCUUAUGAGGUCACAUGCAUAGCAAUUUAUAAAUCAUUGCUAUUAAAUUUGGAAAUAUUAAUUCUAUUGCGUUGUUUUUGCUGUUCGUGUACAGGGUGACCGAAAACUACUGUAACGCACUCUGAAUGUUAUUUCAUUUUAGUUAUAUAGUUUGCAUUUUUUACCACCGACAUUAUUAAAUUUGUGGUCCUUGGGCUUUCUUGAUAUAGAACUGCUAUUUUUACUGUUCUUGGUGUCCCGUCUUAUUAGAAAAAAUGGUAUCUGAAGAGUUGCGCCACACAGUCGUUGCCCACCACAAGCAGAGUAUGACGAUUCCAGAGGUUGCGAAGAUGCUCAAACUGCAGCUUGUUUUAUUCCAUCUCGUCGUCAAACGGUUUCAGGAGACAGGGGGUGUGAAGGACCGGCAGUGAAGUGGGAGGCCUCGAACGGCAAGAACCCGGGAGCUGAAAUUGGCCGUCAGCAAGAAAAUCAAGAGAAAUCCACUGAGAAGCCUGAGAAAACUCACCCGAGAGCACAGAGUUAGCAACUCGACCGUGCUGCUACUCACAAAAGAGGAUCUCUAGUUCACGGUGCACAAACCAGUGAAAGGACAGCUGCUCACGGACCAAAUGAAGGCUUCCAGGCUGGAAAAGUGCCGCAGGAUGAAGCAGCUGAACUGCGAUGAAGCCCUGAACUGAAUUCUGUUCACCGAUAAGAAGAUUUUCACCGUCAUACUGACUUGGAAUUCACAGAAUUACCGAAAAUUGUUGCCGAAGGGUUCUUCGUGAACUGUCAGAGUGGGAAAAAAACUAUUUUCCCAUGAGCAUCAUGGUCUGGGGUGGAAUUUCAGGCCUUGUGAAGACCAAGCUCGUUAUUGUGCUGAAAGGGGUCAAACUCAAUGCCAACAUUUACCAUGAGCUGAUCCUUCAGGGCGCCGUCAUUUCCUGGGCUCAAGGGAAUGUAGAAAACGCUGACUGGUGGCUGCAGCAGGACUGGGCCCCUGCCCACGGAGCGAAAAAGGCUAUCAAGUGGUGUGAGGCAAACCUUCGCGGCUUUCAGGGAAAGGACAUUUGGCCUUCAAAUUCCCCCGAUGUCAAUCCGAUGUACUUCACUGUUUGGGGGAUUUGGGAGCAAAAAGCAUGCUCUUUCAAGCACAAAUCCGUCGAAUCGCUCAAAUAUGCUUUGGAGAAGGCCUGGGAGGAAAUCACUCCAGAAGACAUCACGGCUAUUUUGAAGAAUUUCCAGAAGCGUCUUCAAGCCUGUAUCAAAGCACAAGGUGGACAUUCUGAAACUGAAAUUCGAGUUCUUCUACAGAAUUGAAUGGCCGUUCGAAUAAAACAAAGCGUGCCUCACUUUGUUCGUUCGUUGAAGAGUUAUGGUUGUUUUUUCGCAUUACAGUAUUUAGCGGUCACCAUAUGUUUCUUGGCAUAUUUUGGUGGUGAGUAUUCACUUGUUCUGCAACACAUGCGAAUGAGUUUCCGGAACUCAUUGCAAAUGAUUGCAAGCGGUCGCAACUGUCACUUUCAUGUAUUGACAAUAAAUAUGCGCACGUAGCAGCAAACUAGUGACAUAUGCAGAUGUCAUUCGGUGCAAAUGCAUUAAAUUUUCCUGUGUGACAGGGGUAUUAUUGAACUUUACCAUGCCUUUUCUGACCAAAGUUUUUUGUUUGCUUUAACCAUGCACAUUAAAAUGAGGUGCUUUGAUGUACAUGUAUAUUUUCUCCUAGUGUGUCUGCUCCCUCCCUUGUCAGCUUACUAGGGUGGAGGAAAUUGUGUUUACGUGGCUGCAUGCCAAGGUGGCCCCUACACUGGCUGCCACAUGUAUUUGGAAUUGGCCACACUUUCCACUGGAUGCAACAUACUCAAACUGUCCCUUUCCAGUGAUGGAAGCUGACGCCUGCCACUUAGUAUGGAAUUGUCCAGCCUUACAACUGGGACACUCCCGUCUCCUGCAAGCCAGCCUACACUGCAGUGCUUUGUCUAGCUACCAUAGCUGGGUGCACAAAAGAAGAUACCACAAAACGCUUCCUUGAAUUUGUAGAAUUCAUGGACAAUUACACAGGCCUUACAGUGUACAAAUAACACCUAUCGGACAAUAUGCCUUAGAGACAAGCCUCUAUUGAAAAAUGGAAAAUAUGCCUUGCACAUCUCGCAACUAGCUGUUAUGAGUUUAUCAUACGAUGCCCAAUUUUUAGGCUGUUAACAGUUGUAACGACACUAAUAAUUUUACUAUGUUUGAUUUGCGUACAGUUUAGGUCAAAACUAACUUUAAGAAAAUGAAACACAGUUGCCAACAAAUUUUUGCAGACCCUUAUUGUUCAUACCUAUAUUACUGGCACCAUUGCCACUCACUCCAUAGGAGUGAGAAUAACGCAAAGUUUGUUAAUGUUACAUGGUUAUUUUAUCAAUAAAUAUCAUGAAUACUUC